GUUACUUGACGUAGACCCGAAACCGGGCGACCUACCCAUGAGCAGGAUGAAGCGAAAGUAAAAUUUCGUGGAGGUCCGAACCCACGAGCGUUGAAAAGCUCGGGGAUGACUUGUGGGUAGCGGUGAAAUUCCAAUCGAGCCCGGAGAUAGCUGGUUCUCCCCGAAAUAGCUUUAGGGCUAGCCUCAAGGUGAGAGAUACGGAGGUAGAGCACUGAAUGUCCUAGGGGGUAUUGCACCUACCGAAGACUAUCAAACUCCGAAUGCCGUCAUCUUAUACUUGGGAGUCAGACUGUGGGUGAUAAGAUUCAUAGUCGAAAGGGCAACAGCCCAGAUCGUCAGCUAAGGUCCCUAAAUGUAAGUUAAGUGGUAAAGGAUGUGGGAUUGCACAGACAACCAGGAUGUUGGCUUAGAAGCAGCCACUCAUUCAAAGAGUGCGUAAUAGCUCACUGGUCGAGUGAUCCUGCGCCGAAGAUUUCCGGGGCUAAAACUU
rnacentral:rRNA from 1 species